rnacentral:rRNA from 1 species
UGAGUACGAGAUGCUACGGCAUCGAAGCAGUCUAUGUCAUACUUCCAAGAAAAGCUUGCACUGUCAUAAACAAAGAAUGCCUGUACCAUAACCGACACAGGUGGGUAGGUAGAGUAUACUAAGGGGCGCGAGAUAACUCUCUCUAAGGAACUCGGCAAAAUGACUCCGUAACUUCGGGAGAAGGAGUGCCUUAUUUCUAAGGUUGCAAUAACAAGAUCCAAGCAACUGUUUACCAAAAACACAGGUCUCCGCUAAGUCGUAAGACGAUGUAUGGGGGCUGACGCCUGCCCAGUGCCAGAAGGUUAAAGAAGUUGGUUAGCAUUAGCGAAGCUGAUAACUGAAGCCCUGGUGAACGGCGGCCGUAACAAUAACGGUCCUAAGGUAGCGAAAUUCCUUGUCGGGUAAGUUCCGACCCGCACGAAAGGCGUAAUGAUUUGGAUACUGUCUCGGAGAGGGGCUCGGUGAAAUAGACUUGUCUGUGAAGAUGCGGACUACCUGCACCUGGACAGAAAGACCCUAUGAAGCUUUACUGUAACUUGAGAUUGAAAUUGGACUUUAUUUGCGCAGUAUAGGUGGGAGGCGUUGAGAAUAAUCUUGCGGGAUUGUUGGAGCCAUCAGUGAGAUACCACUCUUGUAAUGUUAGAUUUCUAACUUUGUAUCAUUAUCUGGUCAAAGAACAGUUUCAGGCGGGCAGUUUGACUGGGGCGGUCGCCUCCCAAAGGGUAACGGAGGCGCACAAAGGUUUCCUCUGAACGGGUAGAAAUCGUAUCUAGAGUGUAAAGGCAUAAGGAAGCUUGACUGUGAGACCUACAAGUCGAGCAGGGACGAAAGUCGGUCUUAGUGAUCUGACGGUGCUGAGUGGAAAGGCCGUCACUCAACGGAUAAAAGUUACUCUAGGAUAACAGGCUGAUCUCCCCCAAGAGUUCACAUCGACGGGGAGGUUUGGCACCUCGAUGUCGGCUCAUCGCAUCCUGGGGCGGUAGUCCGUCCCAAGGGUUGGGCUGUUCGCCCAUGAAAGCGGUACGCGAGCUGGGUUCAGAACGUCGUGAGACAGUUCGGUCCAUAUCCGGUGUAGGCGUUAGAAUAUUGAGAGGAGCCUUCUCUAGUACGAGAGGACCGAGAAGGACAUACCUCUGGUGUACCAGUUAUCGUGCCAACGGUAAACGCUGGGUAGCUAUGUAUGGAGUGGAUAACCGCUGAAAGCAUCUAAGUGGGAAGCCCACCUCAAGAUAAGUAUUCUCAGC